rnacentral:lncRNA from 1 species
AAACCCUUGCGCCGCUUGGAGAAUGUGGCCUUGAGGUAGUUCUUGUUGUUUAUUUUCUUGAUGUCGAUCUUGUUCUUCCCCAUGAUGAUGAUUCUUAUAUCAUCUGCACAUGCGUACAUACAUACAUACAUACAUAUAUAUAUAUAUACACACACACACACACACACACACACGUCGUCUUCUUCCUCUGAAUCUUGUCCCAAAUCAGUAGGCGCAGUACCUUUGUUUGUAGAAUUGGUGGAGGGGGAAUUGUG